GACGAACGCUGGCGGCGUGCUUAACACAUGCAAGUCGAACGGAAAGGCCCUGCUUUUGUGGGGUGCUCGAGUGGCGAACGGGUGAGUAACACGUGAGUAACCUGCCCUUGACUUUGGGAUAACUUCAGGAAACUGGGGCUAAUACCGGAUAGGAGCUCCUGCUGCAUGGUGGGGGUUGGAAAGUUUCGGCGGUUGGGGAUGGACUCGCGGCUUAUCAGCUUGUUGGUGGGGUAGUGGCUUACCAAGGCUUUGACGGGUAGCCGGCCUGAGAGGGUGACCGGCCCGAUGGGUUGUGGUAUAGGCCCCGGCCCCCACCGGGGGGCAGCGGGGGGGAUUUUUGCCAAAUGGGGGGAAGCCUAAUGCACCAACGCCCGGGGGGGGAUGGCGGCCUUCGGGUUGUAACCCGCUUUCGCCUGGGGCGAAGGGGGGGUGGCGUUAAUGGGUAAAAAAGCCCCGGCUAACUCCGU
rnacentral:rRNA from 1 species